GAGUGGGAGUGGGAGCCUUGAGGAGCUCCUUGAGGGCCAUUCCCUCCUCAGGUGCAAUUCCAGAAGGACAAAAUGCACAUUCCAGGGGAACCACGGUGGGAGCUGAGCCCAGGGAUCCAGAAAAGUUGCUGGAGUGUCGCAGUGAGAUUUCUGGUUUUUAGUUUAAUCACUCCUCUGGGAAAGUGCUGUAAAAAAAGCUUCAUUUGAAGCCCUCCAAUGGGGUAUUAUUUUCGUGUUGUGGUUCCUGCAUCUAUGAACUAACAGGAAGGGUGAACUCUUUGGCUGAAGCAAAGCAGACGAAUCCUGGUGCUCUCCUGGUCUGUUUAAACUGGUAGAGCACGUAUGGCCUCCCUAGAAUCCCUUUUUGUAACUGCAUUUGUGCUGCAGUCGAGCAUUGCAGUUUGCUGACAGCUUUGCUUUCUGCAUAUUGACUUCAAUUAUUUUUGUGCCAAAUCACUCUGAAACUCCUCAAUAGACACAUUUCUUCAUCUCACCCUACAUCUGUUUCUUAUCUUUUAUGUCGGGCUCCCAGACUGCAGAUAUUGAACUAUGGAUUGGGUUCUGUGUUACAGCACUGAGCCUCCUUUUAAAAUAUCAUCUCUUCAGAAUGGAGGAUGCUGUAAAUGAACCGAGGAAUGUUUGAAAUAAAAACAAACAAACAAAACCCACCCACACUUGAUGUAUAAACUCAGGUUUUUUGUCUGUGUUUUUUGAACAUCUAACACAAUAUUUAAUGAU